rnacentral:snRNA from 1 species
GAUCCUUUAGACCUUCGGA